rnacentral:lncRNA from 1 species
UCUGUUUCCUGGCAACCAGCUCACUACUCCCUGAAGGGCACUUUCAAGAAAGUUCAAUCAAUGGAAGGGUCAAAUGUUUUCUUUUUCAAACGUCCAUUUUGCAUGUAAUGGCUGCUCCAUGCAGAGUUUACGGGUGUUCUCUUGUUCAUGAGAUCUAGCGUCCUUCUGCACAAAUGCAUGUGCUAUGGGUAAGAAAUUACUUCAACUGAGUUUAUUGGCAUUUCUUAGAGCAUAUGAGUUCAAAGAAAAUUAUUACAGGUCUUGGAAAAAUGGACUUCCACUUAACAGAAGGAAAUAUGGAGUCUUCAAGAAGUAACAAGAAGCCACAUCCUGAUUCGCAUCCUCCUCCCAAAACCCUGCAACUUCCUGAAUUCCCGUGCUCCUCAGGCGGGACUUCCUGUUGGAGAUGGAGCUAAAGAAGCUGAAAAACUCCUCCAUCCUUCCUAAGAUAGAUCUCAUUUAUGCAUGAGGUCAGACAAAUUUCCCUAAUGCUGCCCUUGAGGGGAUAUCCAGGGAUAACAAAGGCUGUCUUCCAUGCCUCUCCCCGAAUCCAGAUGUAAACCAGAAAACAUAAAAUAAAAAGCCAAAAAUCAUUCCA